AUCUCAAAUCAGGUAGGACUACCCGCUGAACUUAAGCAUAUCAAUAAGCGGAGGAAAAGAAACUAACAAGGAUUCCCCUAGUAACUGCGAGUGAAGCGGGAAGAGCUCAAAUUUAAAAUCUGGCGUGCCUCCGGCCGUCCGAGUUGUAGUCUGGAGAAGUCUUCCGCG
rnacentral:rRNA from 1 species